GAUGAAGAACGUAGCGAAAUGCGAUAAGUAAUGUGAAUUGCAGAAUUCCGUGAAUCAUCGAAUCUUUGAACGCACAUUGCGCCCCCUGGUAUUCCGGGGGACAUGCCUGUCCGAGCGUCAUUGCAACCUUCAAGCGCGGCUUGUGUGUUGGGUCUCGUCCCCCGUGGACGGGCCCGAAAGGCAGUGGCGGCGUCCCGACAUGGUGCCCGAGCGUAUGGGAAUCCUCUUCCGCUCGAAUCGGCCCAUGCGGCGCUGGUCGUAACCAAAUUUUUUACCGGUUGACCUCGGAUCAGGUAGGGAUACCCGCUGAACUUAAGCAUAUCAAUAAGCGGAGGA
rnacentral:misc_RNA from 1 species